GUAAAGUAAUUUUUUUAUUUUUUAAAAAAAGUUUUAAAUACUAUCAUAUAAGGUGGUAUUUCAAUUCAUUGUUUUGCCAUUAUAAAUAUCAUCCAAUCCCCCUCCCUCUCCACCAAAUCCUAUUUAAUAUAUUUUAUUGACAAAAUCCAAAAUUUCUGAUAAGUUGGAAUUUGAGAGAAUUUAUAUAAAUUACUAAUCCAAUAAACAUGGAUUUCAUAGAGAAUUAAUAAAUGCUAGAUACAAUAAUAGGAGACUUGAAAGAAAAAAAUAUCUUCUCAAAUCUUUGAAAUAAGACUCUUUCGUCAAUUUUAUUAUCUGAAUCAUUGAAAUAUUGUUGUUUUGCUGGAAUGCACUUAAAGCACAUCCAUCCAUCAGAAUCCACCAAAGUUUCUAAAAUAAAAUAAAAAUAUUAAUAUUAUAAUCAUUCAUUUAUUUUUCAUUUUUCUAAAAUCAAAUAAAUCAUUUACUUUUCCUCACAG
rnacentral:lncRNA from 1 species